rnacentral:rRNA from 1 species
GACGAACGCUGGCGGCGUGCUUAACACAUGCAAGUCGAACGGAAAGGCCCUGCUUUUGUGGGGUGCUCGAGUGGCGAACGGGUGAGUAACACGUGAGUAACCUGCCCUUGACUUUGGGAUAACUUCAGGAAACUGGGGCUAAUACCGGAUAGGAGCUCCUGCUGCAUGGUGGGGGUUGGAAAGUUUCGGCGGUUGGGGAUGGACUCGCGGCUUAUCAGCUUGUUGGUGGGGUAGUGGCUUACCAAGGCUUUGACGGGUAGCCGGCCUGGGCGGGUGACCGGCCACAUUGGGACUGGACUGCGGCCCAGCCUCCUACGGGAGGCAGCAGUGGGGAAUAUUGCACAAUGGGCGGAAGCCUGAUGCAGCAACGCCGCGUGCGGGAUGACGGCCUUCGGGUUGUAAACCGCUUUCGCCUGUGACGAAGCGUGAGUGACGGUAAUGGGUAAAGAAGCACCGGCUAACUACGUG